rnacentral:lncRNA from 1 species
CUGUUAUCAACAAGAUGACAUUAACAAUAAAAAUCCUUCCAAUAACUGACCUACUCUGUUAACUAUUUUCCCAGUAUUAUUCAGUCUUUUCAUUGGGUUAUUGAUAGAGUGAAUGGAUUUUCCAUUUAUUAAAAUCUCUUUUGAUUCAAAAUUGUGGUGCAACUAGUAUCCCCCCCCCCCUGUUCUGGUCAUGGAAUAGAUGAAAUAAAUCAUGAAACUGAGGAUUUACCUCAAAACUUAAAAUCUAACAGUGGUCUCGCAAGCAACAAUCAACAAAGUCAUUUAGACAUUGUUCUUCACUAAGCCAAAAAGACAAGACAUAAGGUAUGAGCAUUAGUCUCUUGGCAGAUCUGUAUUCACAUUCAUAAGUUCCUUUUCUUCUGAACUAAUUCAUUUGCUUUCAGACUGAGAUACUAACAUGCAACAAAAAACUUAUGAUAGGUUAAAUUAAAAUGCAUCUAAAAGUUGCAAAAAGUAAAUAAAUUAUUCUCUAAAAUAAAAAAGACACCAACAGAUGUGUGUGUGCAUUGUGGACAUAUACACACAAGCUCACAAACACAUACAUGGGGAGACAGGAAAUGCCUUUUUAUGUUAAAGGAAAGUGCAGAAAGUUUAAACUUCAGCAGCCCUGUAAAUAUGUAAGCAGUCCAACUUAAGCCAAGGUCCUAACCAGAUGAUUUCAUUCAAGAUCAAACUUAGUUUAUCAGAUGGAUAUUAU